GUAGGUGGCAAGCGUUGUCCGGAAUUAUUGGGGCGUAAAAGCGCGCGCAGGCGGGGUCCUUUAAGUCUGAUGUGAAAGCCCACGGGCUCAACCGUGGAGGGUCAUUGGAAACUGGGGGACUUGAGUACAGAAGAGGAAAGCGGAAUUCCAAGUGUAGCGGUGAAAUGCGUAGAGAUUUGGAGGAACACCAGUGGCGAAGGCGGCUUUCUGGUCUGUAACUGACGCUGAGGCGCGAAAGCGUGGGGAGCAAACAGGAUUAGAUACCCUGGUAGUCCACGCCGUAAACGAUGAGUGCUAAGUGUUAGGGGGUUUCCGCCCCUUAGUGCUGCAGCUAACGCAUUAAGCACUCCGCCUGGGGAGUACGGCCGCAAAGGCUG
rnacentral:rRNA from 1 species